UGGUAGUCGAAUACUAGUCGGUCAAUCGAUCCUAGUUGAUUAGCCGACAAUAGGUCGGCACAAUUAGCUUGAUCAGUCGAUGAAGAAUCAGUACUAUCUAUUCGAUCGAUGCAUUGUCGGAGUCGUAGUGAUCAAAGUCGAGGGUCGGUUGGUUUACCCCAACAGUUGCCCUCCACUUUCAAGUCCAAGGUGAGCCGACGUGUGGAUUGUCACGUGGUUUAUCACGUUGGAUGAAGAGAAUUCUAUCACAUCAAGACCCGAUUUUGGUGUCGUUUUCUCCGAGAUAUGGAUGAUCGGCUAUUUUAUCGUAUUGGUAGGUACGAUCAUCUGUCACACUGAUCGAUCGAUCA
rnacentral:lncRNA from 1 species